AUUUUUAUAUGUAUGAUGUGAUUCAAUUUUUAAUACAAGCUGGAAAAUCCUAGAAUUGACGGGUUUAAAUCGAUAUUAAUACAAGAUGGUAUACUACAAGUGAAACUCUAAAAUUAACAAUCAAAAUACAAGUGUAUAAUUUUAAACACUAAACAAUAUAAAUAAUAUCAACAAAACAUAUACAACUCGCAGUUUACUAUACAUUUAAAAUCAAAUAAAAUAAUAUCAUAUAUUUAUAAUCAUCUUUACAAUAAAAGUUUUUAGUUUAACUAAAAUAUAAGCCUACCUGCGGUAUACUGCAAGUUAAAAUUAUAAAUAAGCAGAUUACCAUCACGAUGUAUGUACCUUCUCACAUACACACCUAUCAAAAACUUAAAACCUUUCAAAACCUCUUGGUAUAUUCAAAUUAGGAUUCUUCAUUCAUGGAAUCAUUAUUCCAAGGGUUUUGGGAUGUCUUAUGAAAUGAUUUUGGCAGAAGAGGAUGUAAAUUUUUUUGAAUAAAAAGUAGUCAGCAAAACAUAUGUUUUUUUUGGGAGUUUUUAGAUAAUUAAAUCAGAGAAUAAGAUUGGGCAUAUGAGUAACUCAUUCGAAUUCGGGUAGAACUCGUUCGGGUUUGGGAUUAAUGGGUAUAUGAUUUACUACCUAAUAGAAUAAUUCUAAAUAUUCGGUUCUGGUUCGGGUCGGAUCCAGUUGGGUUUGGGUCAGUUUGCACAAAACGUUUCAGACCCUAAAAAUACCAAAAAAAAUAGAAACGAGAAAUUUGUAUGUAGAUAGCGGGUCUCCAAACAAAAAA
rnacentral:sRNA from 1 species